rnacentral:rRNA from 1 species
CGUGUAGGCGGUUUGUCAAGUCGGGUGUGAAAGCCUGGGGCUCAGCCCCAGAAGUGCAUCCGAAACUAGCGAGCUAGAGCGCGAUAGAGGAGGGUGGAAUUCCUGGUGUAGCGGUGAAAUGCGUAGAUAUCAGGAGGAACACCGGCGGCGAAGGCGGCCCUCUGGAUCGUUGCUGACGCUGAGACGCGAAAGCGUGGGGAGCAAACAGGAUUAGAUACCCUGGUAGUCCACGCCUUAAACGAUGGGUACUAGGUGUUCGGGGUGUUGACCCCCUGAGUGCCGCAGUUAACGCAUUAAGUACCCCGCCUGGGGACUACGGCCGCAAGGUUAAA